UGCGCGCCGUCAGACGACGGGCCUUGUACACACCGAAGGCAGCGUGUUAGAAUCACCCGUUUAAUGAACCUCGUUCCCGGGCCUUGUACGCACCGAAUGGCUAAUACUGGAUAGGAACAUUGAUGGCAUCAUGAAUGUUUUAAAAGACCUUCGGGUAUGCUUAAGGAGGGGCCUGCGGCGCAUUAGUUAGUUGGAGAGGUAAAAGCUCCCCAAGACGAUGAUGCGUAGCCGGACUGAGAGGUUGAACGGCCACAUUGGGACUGAGAAACGGCCCAAACUCCUACGGGAGGCAGCAGUAGGGAAUUUUCGGCAAUGGGGGAAACCCUGACCGAGCAACGCCGCGUGAAUGAAGACGUAUUUCGGUAUGUAAAGUUCUUUUAUCGAGGAAGAAUGGCGCAGUGUGAACACUGCGUAUGACGGUACUUGAUGAAUAAGCCCCGGCUAACUAUGUGCCAGCAGCCGCGGUAAUACAUAGGGGGCAAGCGUUAUCCGGAAUUAUUGGGCGUAAAGGGUGCGUAGGCGGUUGUUUAAGUCUUUGGUGUAAGUGCAGUGCUUAACGCUGUGAUGCUAAAGAAACUGGACAACUUGAGUGUGGUAGAGGCAAGUGGAAUUCCAUGUGUAGCGGUAAAAUGCGUAAAUAUAUGGAGGAACACCAGUGGCGAAGGCGGCUUGCUGGGCCACAACUGACGCUGAGGCACGAAAGCGUGGGGAGCAAACAGGAUUAGAUACCCUGGUAGUCCACGCCGUAAACGAUGAGUACUAAGUGUUGGAGGAAUUCAGUGCUGUAGUUAACGCAAUAAGUACUCCGCCUGAGUAGUACGUACGCAAGUAUGAAACUCAAAGGAAUUGACGGGACCCCGCACAAGCGGUGGAUCAUGUUGUUUAAUUCGAUGCAACGCGAAAAACCUUACCUACCCUUGACAUGUCUGGAACCUUGCUGAGAGGCGAGGGU
rnacentral:rRNA from 1 species